rnacentral:tRNA from 1 species
GAAGAUAAAGCCAAACCACAGAGGCGGGCCUCUGUUACAGGCCUAAUUGGAAGCUCUCCUAUCUUCUUGG